rnacentral:lncRNA from 1 species
CCCACCCUGAGCUCCUCCCCUAACUCCCCAAAACAUUGGGAAGAUGGGCCUUCUGUCCUGGAAGGGCCAGUCUCCUGGGCAGAGCGCUAUGCAUAAGAAGGAAAGCCGUGUUACUCAAUGGUUCUACUGAACCACUAAGCAACAGGGGCUCUGGGGGCACUGUGGAGAUAGAGAACCCUUAGGAAGGCGAUGCUGGAUCCUAUGGGUCUCAACAGAGGGCCUUACGGGGCCACUGUAACAACCAACCACGAAUGGGAGGCUCAACACAACUGAAACGCACGUCCUCACAGUCCUGGAGGCCCGAACUCCAAAACCAAGGCGCCAGCAGGGCCACGCUUCCUCCACGGAGCCUCGGGGAGCAGACGGUCUUGAGACGAGACUUGCUCCCGCAACCCUUUCCCAGCUGCAGCUGCCUCUCCGCCAUCUCUGCCUCCGUGGCCACGCGGCAUCUUCUCCCUGGCAUGGGCUGAACCACCGCAUCUCGGGCAGGGAAGAAAAAAAUGCUGGCAACUAAACCGUGAGGUCCCUUCAAGAGUAAAAUGGAACCUAAGAGGAAGACGGAACCUAACAGAGAUGUCGGGAGGAGAAGCAGCAUGCAUCUUAGAAUUGAUAAGCACGAUACAUGACGACAGGUGUUUUGGUU